rnacentral:rRNA from 1 species
GGUUAAGUUAGAAAGGGCGCACGGUGGAUGCCUUGGCACUAGGAGCCGAAGAAGGACGGGACUAACACCGAUAUGCUUUGGGGAGCUGUACGUAAGCGUUGAUCCAGAGAUUUCCGAAUGGGGGAACCCACUAUCUUUAGUCGGAUAGUAUCCUUACGUGAAUACAUAGCGUGAGGAAGGCAGACCCAGGGAACUGAAACAUCUAAGUACCUGGAGGAAGAGAAAGAAAAAUCGAUUUCCUGAGUAGCGGCGAGCGAAACGGAAAGAGCCCAAACCAAGAAGCUUGCUUCUUGGGGUUGUAGGACACUCUAUACGGAGUUACAAAAGAAAGUUAUAAAUGAAGCGGUCUGGAAAGGCCCGCCAAAGACGGUAACAGCCCGGUAGUUGAAAUGGCUUUCCCUCCAGAGUGGAUCCUGAGUACGGCGGAACACGUGAAAUUCCGUCGGAAUCCGGGAGGACCAUCUCCCAAGGCUAAAUACUCCCUAGUGACCGAUAGUGAACCAGUACCGUGAGGGAAAGGUGAAAAGCACCCCGGAAGGGGAGUGAAACAGUUCCUGAAACCGUGUGCCUACAAGUAGUUAGAGCCCGUUAAUGGGUGAUAGCGUGCCUUUUGUAGAAUGAACCGGCGAGUUACGAUUUGUUGCAAGGUUAAGCGGAAAAAGCGGAGCCGUAGCGAAAGCGAGUCUGAAUAGGGCGCAUAAGUAACAGGUCGUAGACCCGAAACCAGGUGAUCUACCCAUGUCCAGGAUGAAGGUAAGGUAAUACUUACUGGAGGUCCGAACCCACGCACGUUGAAAAGUGCGGGGAUGAGGUGUGGGUAGCGGAGAAAUUCCAAUCGAACUUGGAGAUAGCUGGUUCUCUCCGAAAUAGCUUUAGGGCUAGCCUCGAGGUAAAGAGUCAUGGAGGUAGAGCACUGUUUGGACUAGGGGCCCUUCUCGGGUUACCGAAUUCAGAUAAACUCCGAAUGCCAUGUACUUAUACUCGGGAGUCAGACUGCGAGUGAUAAGAUCCGUAGUCGAAAGGGAAACAGCCCAGACCACCAGUUAAGGUCCCCAAAUAUAUGUUAAGUGGAAAAGGAUGUGGGGUUGCUUAGACAACCAGGAUGUUGGCUUAGAAGCAGCCACCAUUGAAAGAGUGCGUAAUAGCUCACUGGUCGAGUGACCCCGCGCCGAAAAUGUACCGGGGCUAAACAUAUUACCGAAACUGUGGAUGAACCUCUUUAGAGGUUCGUGGUAGGAGAGCGUUCUAAGGGCGGUGAAGUCAGACCGGAAGGACUGGUGGAGCGCUUAGAAGUGAGAAUGCCGGUAUGAGUAGCGAAAGAAGGGUGAGAAUCCCUUCCACCGAAUAUCUAAGGUUUCCUGAGGAAGGCUCGUCCGCUCAGGGUUAGUCGGGACCUAAGCCGAGGCCGAUAGGCGUAGGCGAUGGACAACAGGUAGAGAUUCCUGUACCAGUGCUAAUUGUUUAACCGAUGGGGUGACACAGAAGGAUAGGGAAUCGCACGAAUGGAAAUGUGCGUCCAAGCAGUGAGUGUGAGAAGUAGGCAAAUCCGCUUCUCGCGAAGCAUGAGCUGUGAUGGGGAAGGAAAUUAAGUACGGAAGUUCCUGAUUUCACGCUGUCAAGAAAAGCCUCUAGGAAGAGUAGUACUGCCCGUACCGCAAACCGACACAGGUAGAUGAGGAGAGAAUCCUAAGGUGAGCGAGAGAACUCUCGUUAAGGAACUCGGCAAAAUGACCCCGUAACUUCGGGAGAAGGGGUGCUCUAUUAGGGUGCAAGCCCGAGAGAGCCGCAGUGAAUAGGCCCAGGCGACUGUUUAGCAAAAACACAGGUCUCUGCAAAACCGUAAGGUGACGUAUAGGGGCUGACGCCUGCCCGGUGCUGGAAGGUUAAGAGGA